UUAAGUCAAAUUUGUAUGAAGUUGGAACGUUUGCCUACGUUUGCCGCUAGGGGCGCUGUUCCAACUGCAUACCAGGUA
rnacentral:pre_miRNA from 1 species